GACGGAGGGGGCAAGCGUUUGUUCGGAAUUAUUGGGCGUAAAGGGCUCGUAGGCGGAUCUGUAAGUCUGACGUGAAAUCUCCACCGCUUAACGGGGAGAGGUCGCUGGAUACUGCAGAUCUGGAGUUCGGCAGAGGACCAUGGAAUUUCGGGUGUAGCGGUGGAAUGCGUAGAUAUCCGAAAGAACACCGGUGGCGAAGGCGGUCGGUCUGG
rnacentral:rRNA from 1 species